rnacentral:rRNA from 1 species
UACGGGGGGGGCAAGCGUUGUUCGGAAUUACUGGGCGUAAAGGGCGCGUAGGCGGUUGGAUAAGUCAGCUGUGAAAACCACGGGCUUAACUCGUGGCCUGCAGUUGAGACUGUCUGGCUUGAGUGUGGGAGAGGAGAGUGGAAUUCCUGGUGUAGCGGUGAAAUGCGCAGAUAUCAGGAGGAACACCGGUGGCGAAGGCGGAUCUCUGGGCCUUACCUGACGCUCAGGUGCGAAAGCUAGGGGAGCGAACAGG